UACGAAGGGGGCUAGCGUUGUUCGGAAUUACUGGGCGUAAAGCGUGCGCAGGCGGCUUCUCAAGUCAGGGGUGAAAGCCCAGAGCUCAACUCUGGAAUUGCCUUUGAGACUGAGUGGCUUGAGUACGAGAGAGGUGAGUGGAAUUCCCAGUGUAGAGGUGAAAUUCGUAGAUAUUGGGAAGAACACCGGUGGCGAAGGCGGCUCACUGGCUCGUUACUGACGCUCAGGCGCGACAGCGUGGGGAUCAAACAGG
rnacentral:rRNA from 1 species